CGAGCGGGGGAAGGUAGCUUGCUACCGGACCUAGCGGCGGACGGGUGAGUAAUGCUUAGGAAUCUGCCUAUUAGUGGGGGACAACAUUCCGAAAGGAAUGCUAAUACCGCAUACGCCCUACGGGGGAAAGCAGGGGAUCUUCGGACCUUGCGCUAAUAGAUGAGCCUAAGUCAGAUUAGCUAGUUGGUGGGGUAAAGGCCUACCAAGGCGACGAUCUGUAGCGGGUCUGAGAGGAUGAUCCGCCACACUGGGACUGAGACACGGCCCAGACUCCUAC
rnacentral:rRNA from 1 species